CUCUGUAGUUCAGUUGGUUAGAGCGCUGCACAGGAAUCGCAGGCCCACAGGUUCGAUUCCUGACAGAAGA
rnacentral:tRNA from 1 species